CUCUCCUCCCAUAUGCUUUAACUUCCAUGUCUGUUUUGCCAUUAUCCCUUCUGUUAAGAUAUGAUUAAUGGGAGCUCUCCUGAAUUUCAAACACCCUGAAAACCAGCCAAUCCCUUCUCUUUGGAGGCUACAUUGAAAAAUAACAAUAAAAGUGAGGUGGUGCUGGCUUUUGAAGUCUUUAGAGAACCCAUCACUGUGAUCUUUGUACCACCGCUGGGGAAAGAGGACAUCUUUGCACGUGUCUGGCAUUGUUCAUGACAACAGGGCGACCGAAAUAAAGCAAGAGUUUCUGGGAGUAGCAUUAGGAUGCAGCCCUCCCGCUGUGCACACCAGUUCCCUGCUCUGCACAGCUGCCUGCUCAGCUGGGGGUUGGAAAUCAGCACUGUGAGAAAAGACAGAAAUGACCGUGAUGCGUGCCUCUCUCUGUGAGGAAAAGACAAGAACCUAGCAUAACUGUCCUCUGAGAGUUGUCCAGCAGCCAAUGGAAGGAGAUACAGAAACUUACACCCAAACAUUAGAUGGAAUUGGGAGAAAGAUUGAAGGACCCACCCAAGGAGAACUGGGAGGGACUCUACGAAGACCAACAGAGUCGACACACCUGGACCUUUGGAGGAUCCCAGAGACUGAAUUACCAACCAAAGAGCAAGCAUGAGCUGUACCUAGGACCCCUGCACAUAUGUAGCAGAUGAACAGCUUGGCUUUCAUUCUGGUCUCCCAACAGCUGGAUCAGGGAUUGUCCCUGAACCUGCUGUCUGCCUGCCUGUGGAAUCUGUACUCCUAAUGGAUUACCUUGUCUGGCUUCAGUGAGAGAGGAUGUGCCUAAUCCUGUAGUGACUUGAGGUAUAGGGAUUGGGGUGGGGUGUUAGUGUAUGCUAUAACAACCAGAGGGGAGUUCCCCUUCUCAAAAGAGAGGCUAAAAGUAGGAAGUGGGGAGAACUUGUGUGAGGGUGUACUGGGAAAAGAGGGUUGGAUAUUGGACUAAUAUUGGGUUGGAAAGUAAAUAAAUAAUUUAAUAAAAAAGUAUGCAUGAAUAUACAGAAAACUAUACCAUUAGGAAAAAUUAUGACAAUUUGAAAUGGCCAAAUUUUAUUUAAUAUCCAAAAUAUGUUAGAUAAUUAUCACAAAUUGCUAUUUCACUAGGGAUACUUUGUAAUGAAGUUUGAGAUAUAGGCUUGCAUCUACAGAAAAAUAUGAGAGUUUAUUCUUUUAAGAUUUUAAUUAAAUAGAGAAAUUACUAUAGAAAAUAGAAAACAUCUAGGGAGAAUAUCAUUAUUUAUUCAUUUGAAUUGGCUGCUUAGUUUAUAUAUAUUUCCUAGAAAAUAUCCUAUUAACAAUUUUAGAAGGGAGAAGAACAGUUGAAAAUGUAAAUUUACUGCGUUAGUACUGAUAAUUUUCAAUAAUCUGGUUGAUGAGUUUGGACAAAUGUACACCCACAUGACAAUUAUUAUAAUAAAGUCAUAUUUUCAUCACUACAAAUAGGUUUAUGUUAUCAGCAGUUCCAGUCAUCUGCUCUCAUCCUUUCUAUCAAAUAGUUUUAGUCAAUUAAAUAAUUUUUCUUGUUUUACAAUUUUAUAUAUGUAUAUAUAUACAUAUAUAUGAGCAUCUUUCUCUAGUCAGCAUGCUGGGGGUUGAUCAAUUUUAGUGUUAACUAAAAUCUGUAAGUUUAAAAAUAUUUGCUUUUAUUACUUUUUGUGUGUGUGCAGUGUGUGUGUGUGUAUGUGUGUGUGUAUGUGUGUGUGUGUGUGUGUGUGUGUGUGUGUGUGUGUGUGUGUGUGCAUUUAAGCACAGUGGCUUUAGAGAAGAUGGGAGAGUGCAUUGGACCCCCUGGAACUGGACGCUAGGUAGUGGUAAUCUAACCAACAUACAUGUAUAGGCUCUGAACUCACAUCCUGUGCAAGAGCAAUUCAUGCUCUUAAACAAUGAGGCAUUGCUCCAAACAUGUUUUGAUAUUGUUUUUAUUUGCAAGACAUCUUUGAAUAAUUUAAAUAGUUAAAAAUUUUAAGGGUUUGCAAUCCUUUGUAUUGUCUCAUUUUUACAGUUAAUAAAAAAAUACAUGAUUUGAAUGCCAACUGUUUAUUUCUCUUCCAUUAAGUGAACAGUAGUAGAAAAGUAAUGGUUAGCACGUAUUAGUCAGUGGAAGAUAUGGAAAUUACUUCUUGUACAGGCUGAGUAACUGUGUCCUCCUCACUCUGCAGCACUUGGUAUGGGCACCCCUCCUCACUUAGCCAUUUUACUAGAUGUGUAGCAAAAUUUUCAUAAAGUUUUAAUUUUCCUUUUUCAUAUCACUUACAAAGUAUUUCUCCAUGUGAUUAUUUUUGUUGUCUCUUAAGUAAUGGGGUUCUUUUACUAUUCGGAAUAUAUUCUUUAAUAGAGAAUUAUAAGACCUCCAUUCUGUCUGCCUUCUCUCACAUAUUUUUUGGGUUUUCAGGGUAAUUAAGUUUCCUGGUAUUGUGUAGAGCAGUAGGUUAAAGCAAUGGAGCCUAUGCUGGCCUUAAUGGUGUGAUUCUCCACCACAGUUUCCUGAGCACUGAGAAACAAAGCAUAUAUCAUCUUGCCAAACACUUUUCUGAAAACUGUUUAAAAAUAAUCAUAGUUUAAAAGAAUGACACUAUGGCUGGAGAGAUGGUUCAGCUCUUAAAGGCUCAUCUCACAACCUCAAAAAAACUAGAUACCAGUUUGUCAACUGCUGCGUUCAUAUAUUUGUCCUAAAUGCUUUGUUUAAUACUGAAAAGAUUUUUGUCUUAUGGUGUAUAUGUAUGUGUCUGCUUGUAUGUGUGUAUGUGCACAAGCAUCAGUGUGCAUGUCAUGUGAAGGCUGGAUGUAGAGGCUGGGUGUCUGCUACUAUCAUUUUAUGAGUCAUCCUUUUUGAAAAGGGGUCUUUCACAGAACCUGAUUGCCAAUGACUGUCUAGACUUGUUAGACACUAAAUUCCAGAAAUCCACUUGUCUCUGCUUCUCAGCAUAGGGUCUAGAGUAGCAAAUAGCCAUUCCCAAUUAUUUUAUACUCAGAUCUUCAUUGUUUGCAUGGUAAGGACUUCCCAAUUGCACCACCAUCCCAGAUCAUUGCCUGUGUUUUAUUCUAGAAAAUUUCAAGUUUUAACUUUUAUGCUUAAGUCUAUAAUAUAUUGUUGAUUGGAUUUUAUGCAUAAUGCAUUUUAAAAAGGUCAAAAUUGUCUUUUUCGUGUUAGUCUGUCUUUUUACAGUGGCAGAAACCAGAACAUGAAAGAGGCCACUGGGAUGGAGUUAAGAUCUCUCUGGUGGAAGACAGCAGGACACAGGGGCUAUGGAGAAGGAACUACUAUGGAAAGAUCGAGAUAAGAAUUUAUCUGUAAGGAAGAAGUGAGAGCCAUACUGAGUGGAGGGGGGGUAGGAGGAGGGGUUGAAAGGCCUUAGAGAAAUGUAUUUUAUGUCUACAUCAAAUUGCACGCAGUAUAUGUAAAUGUAUGUUUAUACAUAUAUAAAUAGCUAAAUGAAGAUAUGCCACGUGAGGCAAUAACCAUAGACCAUAUGACACAAUCUCCAGGACUUCCUUCAAGUUAUAAGGUCAAGGGAGACUAUGAAAACAAUACAGGUGAUUGCAAAAGCACUUGGUUAAAUUCCAGAAGGUUUAGGUAAAGCCUUAUUGCUGAAAACACUGUGUACUUCAGACACAGGAUUGGGUGGAAUCAAGCUAAUCUUGAAUUGACCUGAAAUCCCCCUCCAUGAGGUCUGUCUCUCAUAGUACAGGAAGAGGCUAUGAAAGCUGCCGGGGAGGGGAAAGAGAUAAAUAAUUAAGAUUCCUACCCAGCUGUGAAGUCUAAAAAUCACUACCAUGCCGAGCUCAGCAGAUAUUCCCAAUGCAAGCUCAUAGUCACCUAUGACUCCAGUUACAGAGAAUCUGAUCUCUUCUGGCCUUCAUAAGCCCUACAUUCACAAGUACAUACUACUUGUUACACUGAUAUGCAUGAAUAUAUAAAUUAAAACUAAAUAAAAUAAUACCUAGAAAAGAAUUUAUGCCAUCAGGUAUUCUAUCUCUUCUUAUUAUACUCUUUAUUUGAGCUGUGAGAUUAAAUAGCUUUCCAUAUGUUUUUCAUAAAUCUUUGAUUAAGCCUUCUCCCACUCCCUCAGUUUGCCAUAUGCAAAACCUUCCAUGUUUGAAUCUUAGUUCUUCCAAUAUUCCCCAUCUCUAAUCUUAUUUGACCUGUUUCUGCACUUCUGCUUUCAUAGUGAGUCUGCCCUCAAUUACAUGGAUUCCACACAUACUCCAAAGUUAAACAUCUGAAGCAAAAUACUCAAUUCUCUUACAAGACAAAGCAUGCCACAUUUGUCUUUCUGAUCUCACUUAGUACUAUCUUUUCAGGUUACUCAUUUCUCUAUAAAUUUUGUCACGUUGUUUUUAUUUGUAGCUAAGUAAUAUUCCACUUUCUAUACAUAGUAAAUGUCCACUAUCCAUUUAUCAGCUGAUGGACAUCUGGGUUGGUUUCAUUUCAUAGCUACUGUGAAUACAGAAGCCAGUGCUCAGCUAUAGAUGGUCAUCUACAAGAACUUUUCCUAACCUAAGGCUCUGGAAAUCUCAGAAGAGUGAGUGGAAAGAAUGGAGGAGAUAGAGAAUGGAGAGAAGUGCAGUGAAAUCCUGUCUUCUGCAAAUGACAUGACAUAUACAAGUCAUCUCGCCAUAGCUACAGUUGACUGCACAAAGACAAAUUAAAGCCAGUUUAAAUUCUAGCAUGGAUAGAGGAGGAGUCCUGAGACCCCCAUCCCUAGAUCAAGAGCCAUUAGCAGUUGGUGGUGGAUGGAGGGUUUCUUUCUGUGGGAUAGGUACAUGACCUCACAUCUGCACAUAGUUAGCACUAACUGGAUUUAAUGCGCUAUUAACAACAACAAUAAUAACAACAUGACAUAAGAGAUGUUGGGGGAAGCUAGUGAAGGUGCAUAAGAUAGAUUACAUUGUAUACAUGCAUGAAAAUUUCAAGGAAUAAAUAAACUAUUGUUAAAAAUUAAAAAAUAAACUUGGACGUAUUAGUUCAAGAUACUUAGGGAUGACUAGGCAUAUCCACAGUGUCAGCGUUGUACUAGAUUUAUCUCUGAAAUAUAUGUUGUAUACAACAUUUUAAAGUUCCCUUUAUAUGUCUGUUCUGUAUAUAAUAGACUUGUUUCAAGCAUUAAAAUAAAGAGAUUGACUACCACGAGUGUGA